UGCUUCCGGUGGAUGUCUUGGAUCACUCAGUUCUUCGGAAGUUUAUGAAAAAAAUCUGGGAUUGCGCUGCUUUUACCCAAAAAUAUUACAAUUUCGUUAUAAUUUGUGCCUCAAAUGAUAAAAAGAAGAGUUUACUUACCACUAAAGGUGCUAGAGUGUCAGAGAAGGCCAUGAACGUUUGACAGGUGAACUCUGAGACUUUUGAACAGUGUGUAUUCUGAGGGGAGCUAUGGCAGUCCUGAGAAAACAACCAACAUAGUUAUACAGAGCCAAACGGACAAAGGGAUCACUGGUGAAGAGAAAACAUUUUCUGUUCCUGCAAAACACAAACAGCUCUGUGAGUGUUCAAAGCAAAGGAAUUCAUAAAGACUUGGUUUGGGGAUAUCACCUCAAAGAUGAGUGCUCAGCUCCUUCAUCCCGGUGUUGAAGCUUCGAAGAUGCUGGAGGCGGCUUUGCAGCAAAUGGAUGGAAUUAUAGCAGGAACUCAGUUAGACCUGGCAAGUCUCCCAGACCGCAGUGUGUCACCAGUUGCCACAAUAUCAGAGUUAGCAGAGAAACUACGUCUUGCACUGCAAAGCUCGCAGGUAUGGUAUUUGUUGUCCUUUUU
rnacentral:lncRNA from 1 species